UUUCCGGUUGAUCCCGCCAGAGGUCACUGCUAUCGGGGUUCGAUUAAGCCAUGCGAGUCGAGAGGGUUCGGCCCUCGGCGUACUGCUCAGUAACACGUGGAUAACCUGCCCUAGGGAAGGGGAUAACCCCGGGAAACUGGGGAUAAUACCCUAUAGGUUACAGAUGCUGGAAUGCUCUGUAACCCAAAGUUCCGGCGCCCUAGGAUGGAUCUGCGGCCGAUUAGGUUGUUGUUGGGGUAAUGGCCCAACAAGCCAGUAAUCGGUACGGGUUGUGGGAGCAAGAGCCCGGAGUUGGAUUCUGAGACACGAAUCCAGGCCCUACGGGGCGCAGCAGGCGCGAAAACUUUACAAUGCGGGCAACCGUGAUAAGGGAACCUCGAGUGCCUGUAAAUGCAGGCUGUUUAGGUGUUUAAAACGCACCUGGAGAAAGGGCCGGGCAAGACCGGUGCCAGCCGCCGCGGUAAUACCGGCGGCUCGAGUGGUGGCCACUUUUAUUGGGCUUAAAGCGUUCGUAGCUGGGUUGUUAAGUCUCUUGGGAAAUCUGGCGGCUUAACCGUCAGGCGUCUAAGGGAUACUGGCAAUCUUGGAACCGGGAGAGGUGAGGGGUACUUCGGGGGUAGGAGUGAAAUCCUGUAAUCCUCGAGGGACCACCUGUGGCGAAGGCGCCUCACCAGAACG
rnacentral:rRNA from 1 species